rnacentral:rRNA from 1 species
GACGAACGCUGGCGGCGUGCUUAACACAUGCAAGUCGAACGAAGAGCGAUGGAAGCUUGCUUCUAUCAAUCUUAGUGGCGAACGGGUGAGUAACGCGUAAUCAACCUGCCCUUCAGAGGGGGACAACAGUUGGAAACGACUGCUAAUACCGCAUACGAUCUAAUCUCGGCAUCGAGGAUAGAUGAAAGGUGGCCUCUACAUGUAAGCUAUCACUGAAGGAGGGGAUUGCGUCUGAUUAGCUAGUUGGAGGGGUAACGGCCCACCAAGGCGAUGAUCAGUAGGCCGGCCUAGAGGGUGGACCGCCACAUUGGGGAUUGGACAAGGGCCAGGACUCCUACGGGAGCAGCCGUGGGGAAUCUUCCGCAAUAGACGAAAGUCUGACGGAGCAACGCCGCGUGAGUGAUGACGGCCUUCGGGUUGUAAAGCUCUGUUAAUCGGGACGAAAGGCCUUCUUGCGAACAGUUAGAAGGAUUGACGGUACCGGAAUAGAAAGCCACGGCUAACUACGUG